rnacentral:lncRNA from 1 species
GUUACUGUAGGCCUGCAUUGAACCCCACCUAUAGGUUAUAUCAUAGAAAUCAAAAGCAAUUUCCAUGUGAAAAUGUUCUGGGAUUUUCUCUAUUGGUAGGCCACUCUGAUAGGACUACAUUAUGCCAAAUAGCCUAUUGGCUACUGUCUAAAAGUGAUGGUACAGCCUAUUGGCUACUGUCUAAAAGUGAUGGUACAGCCUAUUGGCUACUGUCUAAAAGUGAUGGUACAGCCUAUUGGCUACUGUCUAAAAGUAAUGGUACAGCCUAUUGGCUACUGUCUAAAAGUGAUGGUACAGCCUAUUGGCUACUGUCUAAAAGUGAUGAUACAGCCUAUUGGCUACUGUCUAAAAGUGAUGGUACAGCCUAUUGGCUACUGUCUAAAAGUGAUGGUACAGCCUCAGUGUUCACCAAACGCCCGCCGGAAGUUGCACAAAAAGUUAAAGUUUCUGCUCACAAGACCUGACUUUUGCUCGGUGCUCCAAAAAAAUGACAGGGAACAUUGGACAUGACCCCAGUGGGAUUUAAACAGGGAACAUUGGACAUGACCCCAGUGGGAUUUAAACAGGGAACAUUGGACAUGACCCCAGUGGGAUUUAAACUCAAAACCCUGGCUGGAAUGCAACCAUAAAGUGUGUCCAGGAAAGCCAGAAAGAAACUCCAUGUGCUGCUAAACCUCGACCUACACCUAGAACCAGGCAGAUACUUACUCCUGGUGCUCGCAGUAGUCCCAGUCGUGUCUCUCGUGUUUACAGGCCAGGAAGUUGGGCCAGUUGUCCCUCUUACACUUCAUGAGCUUGAUGAGGUGGUGGGCGCAGUAGUCUCUCUGGAGUACAGGUACCUGGGCCAGGUUCAUCUGGGCCUGGGUGGCCACCAUCUCUACCAGGGGGACAAGACAACAUGUUACACCAGGGGUUAAUGGGGGAGGCCACCAUCUCUACCAGGGGGACAAGAUAACAUGUUACACCAGGGGUUAAUGGGGGUGGCCACCAUCUCUACCAGGGGAACAAGAUAACAUGUUACACCAGGGGUUAAUGGGGGAGGCCACCAUCUCUACCAGGGGGACAAGAUAACAUGUUACACCAGGGGUUAAUGGGGGAGGCCACCAUCUCUACCAGGGGGACAAGAAACAUGUUACACCAGGAGUUAAUGGGGGAGGCCACCAUCUCUACCAGGGGGACAAGAAACAUGUUACACCAGGGGUUAAUGGGUGAGGCCAUCAUCUCUACCAGGGAUACAAGAUAACAUGUUACACCAGGGGUUAAUGGGGGGAGGCCACCAUCUCUACCAGGGGAACAAGAAACAUGUUACACCAGGGGUUAAUGGGUGAGGCCAUCAUCUCUACUAGGGGACACACACACAAAAUAAAAACUGUCAACAAAGAAUGGACUAGGCUAUGUCCUGAGAUGUGUAUAAGUGAAGCCUUGCAUUUUCCGUAAUGCAUUAUAUAUACAUGCGACGAAUGUGUGUACUGUUGGCAAGCAACUACUCUUUCACAGAGUAAGGAAAGGAGACGAGGAGAGGAAGAAAUUGAAUUAUUGAGAUGCACCUGGGAUUUAUGACUAUGAAUUUGACAGGACGGGAAUAUCUGUUCAAAACCAUAUUGCUGUCUGAACUGACAGUUUUAUUAAUUAAAAUAUAAACACUUUACACGAAUGGAAAGGGGGCGAAAUACUCAAGUUACAUUUCAUAGGGAACAUAUCAUGCUAGCUAAAUUUGGGUAACGUUAGCUAGCCACUACUAGUUGCAGUUAGUUUGCUAGCGGACUUUACUUUCCAUGGACAUGACAAGAAACAUGUCAAGAGCCCACCAGCAGACACGUUGCAAACAUACGGUCACAUGUUCGGACCAAAACAGACUCAACAACACAAACCUCUCUCUUUCCUCUCAUCGAAGCCGAAUUCGGGGUCAAAGCCAAAUGGUUUCGCAGGGUCAGGCUCGGUCUCCCUCUCGGUGAUAUACCGCCGCGCGAGGUGAGCUCCCAUGGUGCUAACGGUAUGUUUUUCAAAAUGAAAAUAAAAGAAUCGGUGUUUCCUAAGACUCUGGGAGACAACUAACUCAAGAUUGACAGAAUAAAUCUGCCAUUCGGUCACCUCCACAAGACCCAACGAGCUACUUCCUUUCUGCAACGGAAAUAAACAAGUCGAG